AAAGGAGGGUACAUGGGGUACAUUAAGCCUUUAGAUUUAAGCUAGGGUGAGGUCUCUGAAUUAGGGGUGCAACUCCUGGAUGGAGCCUAAUGACAUUAGCUAACUCAAAUGGUAUUGUCCUUGUUCUAAGGAGCUUAGCAACAGGGCUGAGAAUGUUUUGCCAAGAGAAUGGAAGUUCUCGAUAGUAUUGGGGACUCUGAAAGAACAAAACAGGGGUGGAAGCUUCUGCUAGUCUAAGGGCAAGAGUCUUUCUCACUUUAUUGUUUUAUUAACUGAAUAAAGCCUGUAGGCUUUAAGUUAAGAAAGGCUGGCAGCAACCUAGCUGGGGGUUUCAGUUGAGCCAGAACCUGAAGGCAUACAAAGCAGUGUCUAGUAGAGAUAUAUCCGGCAGUAAGCACACCUGUCUGUCAGAGACCAUGUGACCAGUGUUAAUAAGAGCAGCAUGGUGGCAUCACUGGUGUUCCUACGGUUUAUGAGAUGAGAAGCUUUACAGCCAAGACAAUGAAGGGACCACGACAGGGAGAAGAGAGGCAGGAAGGAAAGAUAAUAAAUGCUUACUACUUGAAAAAAUAUCAAUGUGUUACAGGA